UGUGUGUGUGUGUGUGUGUGUUUAGUUUUGUAACAAAGCCUUACAGACAGGUGCAAACAGUAAAUUCUCUUUUGCAAUCCAGAAUUCAUUGUUGAAUAUGAGAUUUUGGUACAUGUAAGAAGGAAUAUG